rnacentral:misc_RNA from 1 species
AGUGGAAAUUGUGCCGAUGUUAUACAGUGGCGAAUUUAUGUCAGUAUGCUCGUGGAUUCUGAACGAAGUAAACGGAGUGAGCGAAAGAUUCAGCCGGAGUCUAUUCCUCUGCGGUCUUCGUCUCUACGUAAUUUGAGACGUAUUCAUUUCGCAUCGCAUUCGCGCGAUCGCCGAACAGUCAUCUGACUUGAUCUAUUGUCAUGGAAAUUGUCUGAAGAAACUUGUUAUAACGUAGAAUCACGAAUUUACUGCAAUUGUCAAACGAGAAAUCAUUGGCGCUACCGCUUCCAAAAUAUGGGACCUUCCUCGAACCAGGAUCAGACUAUAAGUAACAACCGGAAAUUGCCACAAAACGAGCAGAAUAUAACGUCGGGACCAGAGGUGAUAGCGGUCUCAAAAUCGAGACAAGCAGCUCCGCAGGUACUGGCAGUCGGUGCAAAAAACCUUUUAUUACUGAGCUAUGGUUGUACAAUUGGAUUUAGCACCAUUCUCCUUCCUGCUCUGCAGAAAGCGGAACCCGAAAUUGAUGUCACCCUCGACGAAAUCACGUGGAUCAGUAGUCUCAACUUGAUCCUCGUCCCUGUCGGAUGUCUGGGCAGUGGAUUAAUAUCUGGUUACCUUGGGAGAAGGAAGACGAUGAUGAUAUUAAAUGCUCCGUUCAUCGCUGCCUGGAUUAUGUACUAUUAUUCCUACAACUCGUCCAUGCUUUUUUGUGCCUUAGCCAUGACGGGGCUUACCGGUGGCCUCUUGGAAGCACCGGUGCUAACGUAUGUCGCAGAGGUGACGCAACCACACCUUCGGGGCAUGCUAUCAGCGACUUCGACCAUGUCCGUAAUUCUCGGCAUCUUUAUUCAAAUGCUAGCGGGUAGCUUGACCACCUGGAGGAUGGUCGCUCUCGUAAACAUGAUGUUUCCGAUAUUGUGCUUCGUCUUACUGUGUCUGAUUCCCGAAAGUCCUCAUUGGCUCAUUGAAAAGGGACGCAUGAAGGAGGCUUUAAAGGCGUUGCGCUGGCUUCGGGGAUGGGUGCCUGCCGACCACGUCCGGGAGGAAUACAACACCGUCUGCGAGUCCAUUCAAAAGCCGCAGCAAUUAGAAGCAGCGGGUGGAGAAAGAGCCUGGAGGCACUACACGAAUCGCACCUUCUGGGUGCCCUUUUUCUUGGUCAGCUGGGCCUUCCUUGUCGGUCACUUUGGCGGCAUGACGCCGUUGCAGACGUUCGCAGUGUCUGUCUUCGGUGAACUUCAUGCGCCCAUCGAGCAAUUCAAAGCCACGGUGUUUAUGGGCGCUGCUGAACUCCUCGGCACGUUGUCUUGCGUAAUUCUGAUACACUUUACUGGAAAACGGAUUAUCGCCUUGAGUUCCAUUCUCAGCACGGCCGUCUGUUUCUCUAUCGCUGCGCUUUACGGUAACUUGAUCCAGCGAGGCCUCAUCAUAGGCGAAGACUACUCUUGGAUUCCAACUUACGCCUUGAUUGGUGCCGCUUACCUUAGUCACUUCGGAAUUAGAUUGCUGCCCUGGAUACUCAUAGGGGAGGUUUUCUCAUCACAGGUCCGGAGUGUUGCAGCGGGUGCAGUCAGUGCUUUUGGAUAUGCGUGUGGCUUCGUCGUGAACAAGGUUUACCUCUACAUGAAAAAUGGAAUGACACUGGCCGGUACAUUUUGGUUUUACUCGGCGGUCGGGUUUGUGGGGGCCAUCGUAAUCUACUUCAUUCUGCCGGAAACGGAGGGACGGACUCUCAGAGAGAUCCAGGAACAUUACGCAGGAACUCAUGAUCUAAAAACUAGGCCGAGAAAAGAAGAUCUACCGAUUAAAGAAAAAUGGACUGUGUCUAACCCGAUUCCAGUGGUCGAUGAUGUGGAAAGUAAGCUCUAAAGUGAAAGUCAAGGUCUUCCUACCUUUAAAUGGGUAACGGAAGUCAGAACCUUGAUAAUGUGACGAGUAUUACGAAACGGUUGUGAAACUCAGAAGACUAGUUAGUUUGAGUUGCAAAGAUUUUCAAACACUCGAACCUGAAAGGAAUGCAUGAGUUUGCAAGGCAUUCGUACACGAAAGUGGGAGCAGCUGCAUGUUCAUCGUUAAGAAUAAUAUCAAGCGGACACAUCCUCAGAUUUACCGUAUCUAUUUUUAAUACACUUAGAAAGUCAUUUUUUAUUUCUGUGAAUAAUUAUUUUGUACAAAUCGUCAAUAUUAUUUAUAUCUAACGAUGACAUUGAGGUAGCCAUAGUAAUUAUUUGUAUAGUAUAUUUGACCUCCUGUUGUGAUUACUAUAAUGAUGUACCGGUAAGAUAAAAUUUUUAUCAAGCAUAAAUAUAUU